AGGAAAAGCAGCAGAAUGAACACCGGAGACUACAUUUUAAAACAUCGGAGAAGUAACCUACUCGCGUUUAAAAAUCAUUCCUUUUGGACAAUGAAGGAAGACCUGAAAUUUAGGGAGAGGCAAGAGAUGAACAAUGUACUUGGGGAUAGGAUGUGAAAGCUCCACAACAAGAUAAAAACAAGAAAUAGAGAAGAUGGGAAAGUGGUCCAUUCCCUGUGCUGUAGCUACUAUUGUUAUUGUGGCCACUGAAGUGACCUUGAACUUGAAGGAAAGAAAAUGCUGAGAUGAAAAGGUUAUUUAUACCUUCUGAAUCAAAUUCUCCUUGUGCAACAAGAGAACUGUUCUAUUCUACACACAUAUAUUGUAUCUAGGAUAUACUGUAACUUAUUUAACAUGUAUAGGAAUGCUUGCCAUCUGGGGGAGGGGGAAGAGGGAAGGAGGGGAAAAAUCAGAACAGAAGUGAGUGCAAGGAAUAAUGUUGUAAAAAAUUACCCUGGCAUGGGUUCUGUCAAUAAAAAGUUAUUUUAAAAAAAUAUCAUAUAACCAAUUCAUUGUUCUACUUUUUCUUUGUUUUAUUGAGGUAAACUUUUAGAGAAAAAUGUUCUCUGAUCACUGCUUUUGCUAUAUCCCAUAGGUUUUAAUAUAUUGUCUCAUUAUUGUCAUUCUCUUUAAUGGAAUUAUUGAUUGUUUCUAUGAUUUGUUCUUUGGUCCAUGCUCUAAGAUUAGAUUAAGAUUAUCUUUGGUUACAAAGUCCAUAGUCGACAUGAUUGACCUGACAUAUCCAGUAGAAUUUUUGCUGAGUACCAAUACUUUCCCCCCAGCAAAUAAGCUUGUGAAGUCCUAUCUAUUUCUAUGAUUAUAUUUUUGGACACACCUAAAGACAAAACUACAGAUCUAAAUAUUUAUCCCAGGUCUAAAUAUUUUAAAGAAUUUGCUAUAUAUUACAUAAGAAAAAAAAAUCCAGUAAAAUCAUAAGGGGAAAAUAUAAAGCAAUUGGUUCAGUGUUCUAUAGUUAUUGUUAUAUUAACACAAUGGAAUAUACUCCAAAAGGACUCAAUGACAGAAAUAAAAAUCCCUUAUAAUAAUAAUGAAGUCAUAGCAAUAGUCUUUACAGAUUAUAAACAAAGGGGUACAUAUUGACUGAAAAAGGAUAGAAAAAUAGAAUGUAUCAAUAUAGUGAAAUACAGUAUAAAAACAAGUAAAAUACAAGAAAUUAAGAGGAAUAGAUUUAUAUUAAUUGAUAGUGAAAGUAGAAAAUUAAGAAAAGAAUGUAUAUAAUCACUACUCAGGAGUCCUCAAACUUUUUAAAUAGGGGGCCAGUUCACUGUCCCUCAGACUGUUGGAGGACCGGACUAUAGUAAAAACAAAAACUUUGUUUUGUGGGCCUUUAAAUAAAGAAACUUCAUAGCCCUGGGUGAGGGGGAUAAACAUCCUCAGCUGUGGCAUCUGGCCGGCAGGCCGUAGUUUGAGGACGCCUGAGUUGUCAUAAUGUAAAUUUUAAAAGAUUACUAGAAGGAAUUUUAUCUUUCAGUAAUUAAAAAAUCAGUGAAGAUUGUGAACAACAACAAAAAUUGUGCUUCUGUCCCCAUUGCAAAGUGUAUUUUGACUGACAUUAGACUGACUUGGACAAAAUAUUGAAUGUCUUGCCAAAUGUCUUUACUUUAUUAGAUGUUUUUGUGUUAUUAUUUCUCUAUGAUAUGGAGAUAUUCACUUGGAAGUUGGAGGACUGAAUAACUUAUGUAAAGACAAAAAGCGUCAAUAAAAAGUUACAUUUAAAAAUUUUGCGUAUAGUGGCAGGUUUUCUCAAUAAAUGUGAGAAUAAAUCAAGGAUGCUUCCUUUCCCCAAUAUUAUUCCAUAUAAUUCUAGAAAUGCUAGCAAAUAAGACUAGAGGAAGAAAUUAAAGUCAUAAAAAUAGGCAUAGAAAUGAAUAUAUCUUUAUCUACUUAUGACAUGAUGAUUUACGUAGAAAAUAGCAAAGUAAUAACUUGAGACAUUUCUAGUUUCAAAAAAGUUGUAGGCUACAAAAUAAGGCCACAAAAUCAAAAUUAGUAAUAUUUCUUUAUAAUAUUAAAAUCUAAGCAGUAAGAGAAUGAGAGAAAAAGAAGUCCCACUGAAAGUACGUUAUACACACACACACACACA